rnacentral:rRNA from 1 species
UACGUAGGGGGCAAGCGUUGUCCGGAUUUAUUGGGCGUAAAGAGCGUGUAGGCGGCCUGAAAGGUCAGCUGUGAAAACUCGAGGCUCAACCUCGAGACGCCGAUGGAAACCAUCUGGCUAGAGUCCGGAAGAGGAGAGUGGAAUUCCUGGUGUAGCGGUGAAAUGCGCAGAUAUCAGGAGGAACACCAAUGGCGAAGGCAGCUCGCUGGAACGGUACUGACGCUGAGGCGCGAAAGCGUGGGGAGCGAACAGG